UACAGAGGGUGCGAGCGUUGUCCGGAAUCACUGGGCGUAAAGGGCGCGUAGGCGGUCCGUCACGUCGGGAGUGAAAACUCAGGGCUCAACCCUGAGCGUGCUUCCGAUACGGGCGGACUAGAGGUAUGCAGGGGAGAACGGAAUUCCUGGUGUAGCGGUGGAAUGCGCAGAUAUCAGGAGGAACACCAGUGGCGAAGGCGACUUCCUGGCCUGUUCUUGACGCUGAGGCGCGAAAGCUAGGGUAGCAAACGGG
rnacentral:rRNA from 1 species